UACAGAGGGUGCGAGCGUUGUCCGGAAUCACUGGGCGUAAAGGGCGCGUAGGUGGCGCGACAAGUCCGCGGUGAAAGCUCGACGCUUAACGUCGAGUCGGCCACGGAUACUGUCGGGCUCGAGUCCGGAAGAGGCGAGUGGAACUCCUGGUGUAGCGGUGAAAUGCGCAGAUAUCAGGAGGAACACCGAUGGCGAAGGCAGCUCGCUGGGACGGUACUGACGCUGAGACGCGAAAGCGUGGGGAGCAAACAGG
rnacentral:rRNA from 1 species